UACGUAGGGUGCGAGCGUUGUCCGGAAUUACUGGGCGUAAAGAGCUCGUAGGUGGUUUGUCGCGUUGUCCGUGAAAACUCACAACUCAAUUGUGGGCGUGCGGGCGAUACGGGCAGACUGGAGUACUGCAGGGGAGACUGGAAUUCCUGGUGUAGCGGUGGAAUGCGCAGAUAUCAGGAGGAACACCAGUGGCGAAGGCGGUUGCCUGGAGCUUUGCUGACGCUGAGGCGCGAAAGCGUGGGGAGCGAUCCGG
rnacentral:rRNA from 1 species